UACGUAGGGGGCAAGCGUUGUCCGGAAUUAUUGGGCGUAAAGAGCGUGUAGGCGGUCCGGUAAGUCGGCUGUGAAAGUCCAGGGCUCAACCCUGGGAUGCCGGUCGAUACUGCCGGACUAGAGUUCGGAAGAGGCGAGUGGAAUUCCCCGGUGUAGCGGUGAAAUGCGCAGAUAUCGGGAGGAACACCUAUGGCGAAGGCAGCUCGCUGGGACGUUACUGACGCUGGAGACGCGAAAGCGUGGGGAGCAAACAGG
rnacentral:rRNA from 1 species